rnacentral:rRNA from 1 species
CUCAGUAACACGUAAUUAACCUACCCUUAGGAUGAAAAUAACCCCGGGAAACUGGGAUUAAUUAUCAAUAGAUGAUUUUUCCUGGAAUGGUCUAUCAUUGAAAGACUCUAAAAACAUGCUUUUAGAGUUGCCUAAGGAUGGGAUUGCGUCCGAUCAGGUUGUUGGUGGGGUAAAGGCCCACCAAGCCUAUAACCGGUACGGGCCCUGAGAGGGGGAGCCCGGAGAUGGAAACUGAGACAAGGUUCCAGGCCCUACGGGGUGCAUCAGGCGCGAAAUCUCGACAAUGCGCGAAAGCGUGAUCGGGUUAUCCCGAGUGCCAUCCGAUGAGGAAGGCUUUUCCUUGGUUUUAGAAGCCAUGGGAAUAAAGGGGGGGCAAGACUGGUGUCAGCCGCCGCGGUAA